rnacentral:rRNA from 1 species
GUGCCAGCCGCGGCGGUAAUACCGGCAGCCCGAGUGAUGACCGAUCUUAUUGGGCCUAAAGCGUCCGUAGCUGGCUGCGCAAGUCCGUCGGGAAAUCCACUCGCCCAACGAGUGGGCGUCCGACGGAAACUGCACAGCUUGGGACCGGGAGGCCUGAGGGGUACGAUCGGGGUAGGAGUGAAAUCCUGUAAUCCCGCGCGGACCGCCGAUGGGGAAACCACCUCAGGAGAACGGAUCCGACAGUGAGGGACGAAAGCCAGGGUCUCGAACCGGAUUAGAUACCCUUGUAGUCC